AAUAAUGUGCCUGAAAAAAGGGCUAUUUUGAUAGAAUAGAUCAUGUAUUUGUACCUUUAUUU
rnacentral:tRNA from 1 species